CAGAGUUGCAAGACUCCCUAAACCAUUGUGAACCUACCCUCUACCGUUGCUUCGGCGGGCGGGCCCAGCGCCCCCCCCGGCCCCCCGCGGGCGCCCGCCGGAGGAUACCCAAACUCUUGACAUUAGUGGCCUCUCUGAGUAUUCUUUACUGAAUAAGUCA
rnacentral:misc_RNA from 1 species